GUGUAACCUGGUUACAGGAACCACCUAUCGAUUCGUUGUAUGUGCACUCCAUACGAGGCGAAAGUUACCUAAACUACCCUAACGAACAUGGAAAGCAGCGUUGCAUUAUCUUUCCCUUCGGCACCUUCAGUGCCUCUGGCGGCAUUCGCUGGAACUUCUCACUCUAACCGAGUCACAGAACAGUACUCAUCGUUCGCCGAAUACUUAACACAUAUAAUGUCCAUAAAACCCGAAGGGCACCUCGUCUGUAUUUGUGACGGGGGGACCUUGUCCUUGGAACGUAGCGGGCCCAAGGUUAAGGCAACGACAGGUCUUUUCAAUUUGACCGGCAAGCUGUGCACACGCGUGUGUCCAAGUGGAAGUACAAUCAGCGAAGCGGCCGCAGAGUUUGCCGAUCGUCAUAUUCAAAUUGAAACCUGUGGUUUUGAACGUUUUUACUAGGCCCAACGCGCCGAUAGGGAGUGUGCUUUCUUAGGAGAGCCGACCGAGUGACGUCAACCUAACACGCGGUCAUCCCAACCCAACCGUAAUACGCUUGGGCGAGGCCAGGACUAUUCCUUCAAUUGAAGGUGUUAGUCUAGGGCAGGUGUAGGAUUCGGCGACCACCACGCCGGCUCUGCGGGACGGUCCGGAGACCCGGAGGGUCCGCGACCCGAAACCCGCGUGCGCACCUGUGGGCCAGGAGGUCACCACAACCUCUGGGACGGAGGGACUCGGUAGUCAAUUGCCGAACUUCCAUCCCCGGCCUCGAACCAAGCCACCCCGGGGAAGUUGAACGCGGCCCAGCCACACUGGCCGUCGAGCACGUGACGCGUGCAACCCAUCUGCGUAAGCCUGAUCAGCUGCAUUUAGUACAACAAGCCAAGUCACCAACCCAGCACCAGCCGAACAGCCGCCGACGCCGACGCCGGCGCCUUCGCCGCCUCGUCACCACCAGCAUGCAGAAUCCAGGUCAGACCCACCCUUUGUUAUUCUAAAAAUAGACACCAGUGCGAUGCAUGAACCAAAGCGUUACGGGAAAAGGUUAGACUAAUGUUAGGGAAUAAGAAUUAGCGCGCCACCAGCAGGUCAAUGUCCGGACAAAUAAACUAUCGAGCUACACGUCGUCGUGUUUCCGUUUGCCCUAAAAAUUAAAGGGUUGUUGUUGUUUUACACGCGAAACUCCUGGAUAAGGUCUCCUAGUUUUAAGGAUAUUCUAUGUGGAGGGUUGUCGUUGAGCGAUGUUGUUGGGGUUCGAAUAGUGGCUUCGGGACAAGAAAAUGAACUCGCCCUGAGCGAGCUAGACCGGGACGUAACGAACACGCUGCUUUGCAUGUACCUUGGGAACUCGGUACUUGGCGCUUAAGCGGAGUAGCAGAAUCUCCCUGAACCCUUGCCGUUCAGCAGCGACGCGCUU